rnacentral:ncRNA from 1 species
UCAAAGGCUGUGAGCGGGAAUAGUAAGUUCCUCAGCCAGGCCCCAGAGAGCCGGAAAAGGUGAAAGCCGGCGCCUGAGCGGGAAUUGAAUGGACCCGGGAGCCGCUGCCCGAAAGAAAAUAGGAGCAGCCGCGAGGGAUGCGUUAUAAUCCCAGGAUAUAUACCAUCAAAUGAUGGCGUAUCCGUAAUGAGAUAGCUCCUGCCGUGUGGCGAAGCUAAAAAGGGUGGCACCGCAGAGCCCUCUGCCCCUUAA